GGAUUUGGUUUAGGAUUUAGGAUUUGAUUAUGAUUUGAUUUAGAAUUUAAGAUUUGAUAAGGAUUUGGUUAAGGAUUUAGGAUUUUUUUAAGAUUUGAUAAGGAUUUUGUUAAGAAUUUAGGAUUUCUUUAAGAUUUGAUUUAAGAUUUAAAAUUUGAUUAGAAUUUGAUUAGAAUUUGAUUUUGGAUUCAUGAUUUGAUUAGGAUUUAAUUUAGAAUUUUAUUAGGAUUUGAUUAAAGAUUUAGAAUAUGUAUAGGAGUUAGUUUAGAAUUUGAUUAGGAUUUAAUUAAAGAUUUAGAAUAUGUAUAGGAUUUAGUUUAGAAUUUAGGAAUUGAUUAGGAUUUGAUUUAAGAUUUGGAGUUUGUCUAGAGCUUGCUUUAGAAUUUAAGAUUUGUUUAGGCUUUGAUUUAGGAUUUAAGAUUUGUCUAGGAUUUGAUUAAAGUUUAUUAGGAUUUCAAUUAGGAUUAAAUUCGAAAUUGAUUGAUAUUUAUUUAAGAUAUAUUGUGAUUAUUUUAAAAUUUUUUAGAACUUCUUAAUGAUUCUUUUAAAUUUUAUUUUAGAUUAUCUUUUAACUCAUUUAAGAUUUUUUAUU
rnacentral:lncRNA from 1 species